AUGGAAGAAGAACCUCCAAUAUUUGCUGAAGAGGAGGCAGGUACUAGUAAGAAGAAGAAGAAGCGCAAACAUGAGACAAUAAAGCAGACUCAGUGCAAAGCGAAGAUGUUGGUGAAGCUGAUAGAUGGGCGAUGGGAGGUGACGCACUUUGUUCGUGACCACAAUCAUCCGCUCGUGAACAAACCUUUAUUGUCCAAAUACUUGAUAUCCCACCAAAGCAUCUCACCUGAUGAAAAGGAGUUUCUGCGCAUCUUGUAUAACUGCAACUUGACUACAGGCGUGGUGUUUUUCUAUAUCCCUUAA
rnacentral:rRNA from 1 species